rnacentral:lncRNA from 1 species
CAGCGCCGCUUGUCUCCGCGCGCCACCGCAACGCCGUCACGCUACCCGCACACGCCUCCGCCUCUCUCCAUCUCCGGUUCUUGCUCGAAGACCCAACGGAUCUGAGGACGCCGGAGCAGCCAGCUAGCUGCUGGACCACCGUCUCGCGCCUCCACCCUCGCCGUUCGCCGCCGAGCUGCACGUCGUUGCCUUGCCACUGCUCUGCUCGUCUCGGCCUCCCUCUCGCCUAGCUCGCCGUUCCAGCGAGCUGUUCAGCUCGUCCCAGCCGCUGUGGGCCAUCGUCGGAGCUCCUUCCGCCGCCACCUGGACCGUGGAAGCUCAGCUAGACCACCACCGGCUCUAUCCAGCUCAAACCGACGCCGGAUCUGCCCUUAACCGGCAGCGAGCAGUGAGCAGAAAAAUGGGUAUCUCAGUUUGGUUUUGGCCCGUUUUGGCCGGCUUCCCAACCCCGGAUGCUUGGCCCGCUUUGAGAAAAGUUGUUCCCCUCGGCGUCCCCGUCGUUUUGGUCCACUCAGUUCGCUAAUCCGGUGAGUUUAACUCACUAAAUCUUGAUUAGAGGGUUAAUGAUGCUUUAGGUGUGCUUAGUUUAUGUUAAGUGUUAUUAGGUGGUUAGUUUAGUUUAUUUAAGUGUAGAUUAUAUUAAAGUGCUUAAUUAACUUAAAGUGUGUUUAAUUUAAGGUUAAGUGAAUGUUUAUAUUAAUAUAAACCUUGAUGUGACUUAAAGGAAUUUAUUUUUGAUUUAUUUAAGUAUUUCGAAAUUAUUAAAUAAUUUAAUAAUAUAUAUUUAAUCGAAAUUAUUAAAAUAUUAUUAUUUAAUUAAUUUCGGAAUAAAUUUAAUUAUUUAUUAAAUUCUGAAAAUUUCAUUGGGAUCUUAUUUUCUCAGAAUUUCAUGCUGAUUGGUGCUGUGUAUUCAUAAUUUGAAAUUGAUGAUUGGAUAUUAUAAAUUGAGUGUGGAUUGUGAAAAAUAUGAAUAUUAUUAUUAAUUAAUUUUUGGAAUAAAAUUAAUUAUUUAAUAAAUUCUAAAAAUUAUUUCGAGACCUUAUUUUCCCAGAAUUUCAUGCUGAUCACUGCUGUGCAUUUAGGAAUUUGAUGAAUGGAUGUGGCAAAUUGAGUGUUGAUUGUGAUAAAUAUGGAUUUUAUUCAUAAAAACCCAAGUGUUGGGUUUUGAUGCAAAAAUUAGAUUUUCAGUAUUAUAUUAAAUAGUGGGGUUUGAAAAAUGAAUGUAUUGGUUUUUGAUUCAAAAUGAUGUGUGUCCACGUACGACUAUUUUCUCGAAUGUUUUAAUAUGAAAGAAAGAGGCUGGGACUACUAUUUUAAUCAUAGCAUUGAGUGAAAUGCAAAGUGUCCGGGAGCCAAUAUUGAAUUGUUGUGUGCUGGUUGAAAGACUCGGUCGCAGUAGUGGCUACGCCAACUGGACCUUUAUUCCUUUAGAAAUACCGUCAACAGAGUGAUGUGGCUCGGAUCGCAGUAAAGGCUAGGCCAAUUGGACCCAUACUCCUUCGGGAAUGCCGUCGACGUAAUGACGAAGCCACGCUCCAUGGGGGGAGGCGAUGCCUGGCAUUAAUGUUAGUAGAUAGCCGAACUGCGAGUAGGCUAUGCCCUUGUGUGGCAGUGAAUAUCAAUUGGAACACAUGCUAAGUGUUAUUGAUGGGUCGGAUUAUAGGAUAGAAUCUUGUGGCAUGGUAUGGGACGUGUCAUAACGAUUUGGUCUUAUAAUCCGGACUCAUGUGGUCAUUUGAAAUGAUAUUGUUGGCGUUCCAGUUGUUUAAGUUUCUAUCACUACCUGUGAUUGAGUGACUUGAACUGUGCUAACUUGCAGAAAGGAACUGAGGCGAGGUAAGUUCUCUGUGUGAUGUGGCUAUGCCACCCUUGGACGUAUUUUCUUUAUAAUAGGGGUUUAUGGGGUUGAACUUGUUAAGAUAAUGUCUCAUCCUGGUUGUGGGAUAAAAAUUUCAGGUCCCUGGUGGACGAAGCGGCCAGUUAGCUUUGGUUGGUCUUGAGGAAUUGCAGAGGUGAAGUCAUAAGGAUUGGAGAACGUGUCCGACUUGUAGGUCAUAGGACAAUUCAUUUUUAA